UGGGGAAUUUUGGACAAUGGGCGAAAGCCUGAUCCAGCAAUGCCGCGUGUGUGAAGAAGGCCUUCGGGUUGUAAAGCACUUUUGUCCGGAAAGAAAUCCUUGGCUCUAAUACAGUCGGGGGAUGACGGUACCGGAAGAAUAAGCACCGGCUAACUACGUGCCAGCAGCCGCGGUAAUACGUAGGGUGCAAGCGUUAAUCGGAAUUACUGGGCGUAAAGCGUGCGCAGGCGGUUUGCUAAGACCGAUGUGAAAUCCCCGGGCUCAACCUGGGAACUGCAUUGGUGACUGGCAGGCUAGAGUAUGGCAGAGGGGGGUAGAAUUCCACGUGUAGCAGUGAAAUGCGUAGAGAUGUGGAGGAAUACCGAUGGCGAAGGCAGCCCCCUGGGCCAAUACUGACGCUCAUGCACGAAAGCGUGGGGAGCAAACAGGAUUAGAUACCCUGGUAGUCCACGCCCUAAACGAUGUCAACUAGUUGUUGGGGAUUCAUUUCCUUAGUAACGUAGCUAACGCGUGAAGUUGACCGCCUGGGGAGUAGGUCGCAAGAUUAAAACUUAAAUGAAUUGACGGGGUCAAGCUGUUUCCU
rnacentral:rRNA from 1 species